rnacentral:rRNA from 1 species
AACGAACGCUGGCGGCAGGCCUAACACAUGCAAGUCGAGCGGACCCUUCGGGGUUAGCGGCGGACGGGUGAGUAACGCGUGGGAAUAUGCCCUUCUCUACGGAAUAGUCCUGGGAAACUGGGGGUAAUACCGUAUACGCCCUUUGGGGGAAAGAUUUAUCGGGGAAGGAUUAGCCCGCGUUGGAUUAGGUAGUUGGUGGGGUAAUGGCCUACCAAGCCGACGAUCCAUAGCUGGUUUGAGAGGAUGAUCAGCCACACUGGGACUGAGACACGGCCCAGACUCCUACGGGAGGCAGCAGUGGGGAAUCUUAGACAAUGGGGGCAACCCUGAUCUAGUCAUGCCGCGUGAGUGAUGAAGGCCUUAGGGUUGUAAAGCUCUUUCAGCUGGGAAGAUAAUGACGGUACCAGCAGAAGAAGCCCCGGCUAACUCCGUG